GCUUAUCUGCAGUCGUGGGGCAGCGCGGGUAGUAAUACCUGGCGGCGACCGGCAAACGGGUGCGGAACACGUACGCAACCUUCCUUUAAGCGGGGAAUAGCCCAGGGAAACUUGGAUUAAUACCCCAUAAGAUUAUGGUGUGGCAUCACACAGUAAUUAAAGCUCCGGCACUUAAAGAUGGGCGUGCGGCUGAUUAGGUAGCUGGCGGGGUAACGGCCCACCAAGCCUACGAUCAGUAACUGGUGUGAGAGCACGACCAGUCACACGGGCACUGAGACACGGGCCCGACUCCUACGGGAGGCAGCAGUAAGGAAUAUUGGUCAAUGGACGCAAGUCUGAACCAGCCAUGCCGCGUGGAGGAUGAAGGCCCUCUGGGUUGUAAACUUCUUUUAUUUGGGAAGAAACCGGACUUUUCUAAGGCCGUUGACGGUACCAGAUGAAUAAGCACCGGCUAACUCCGUGCCAGCAGCCGCGGUAAUACGGAGGGUGCAAGCGUUAUCCGGAUUCACUGGGUUUAAAGGGUGCGUAGGUGGGCAGGUAAGUCAGUGGUGAAAUCUCUGGGCUUAACCCAGAAACUGCCGUUGAUACUAUCUGUCUUGAAUAUAGUGGAGGUGAGCGGAAUAUGUCAUGUAGCGGUGAAAUGCUUAGAUAUGACAUAGAACACCCAUUGCGAAGGCAGUUCGCUACACUAUCAUUGACACUGAGGCACGAAAGCGUGGGGAUCAAACAGGAUUAGAUACCCUGGUAGUCCACGCCCUAAACGAUGGAUACUCGACAUCAGCGAUACACUGUUGGUGUCUGAGCGAAAGCAUUAAGUAUCCCACCUGGGAAGUACGACCGCAAGGUUGAA
rnacentral:rRNA from 1 species